UACGGGGGGGGCAAGCGUUGUUCGGAAUUACUGGGCGUAAAGGGUUUGUAGGUGGCUUGUUAAGUCAGACGUGAAAUCCCUCAGCUUAACUGGGGAACUGCGUCUGAGACUGGUGAGCUUGAGUGCAGGAGAGGAACGCGGAAUUCCAGGUGUAGCGGUGAAAUGCGUAGAUAUCUGGAGGAACACCGGUGGCGAAGGCGGCGUUCUGGACUGCAACUGACACUGAUGAACGAAAGCCAGGGGAGCAAGCGGG
rnacentral:rRNA from 1 species